ensembl:processed_transcript
GCAGAGAGCGUUGUCAUGGAAACGGAGCAACGACACGACACCUGACCGUCAACAGCACUUCUCUCAUGCGGCAGUUUUCACUAAUUUCAGGAGUGACAAAAUUACCCCUACAACAGAAGAGAAGAGCCAAUAUGAAGGGAGCUAAUCACUGAGCUGGAGGAAACACAGAUUUUGGAUCGUCCUCUACUCACUCUACCACUUUGUUUUUCCUUGCCAGACUUCAUUCAAGAAGCCUGCUACAAGAGAGACAGCGGAAGGAACCUCAAAGACAUUUUUAUUAGGAUCUGCUAAUCAUGAGGGGGCAGACAAAAGAACCUGCAUUUUCCUUCAGCUUAAUAUCAGGGGUCGCCACAGCGUAAGGAACUGGAUAUUACUUUGGCAUAUGUUUUACACAGC